UACGUAGGGUGCAAGCGUUAAUCGGAAUUACUGGGCGUAAAGCGUGCACAGGCGGUUAUGCAAGACAGAUGUGAAAUCCCCGGGCUUAACCUGGGAACCGCAUUUGUGACUGCAUAGCUGGAGUACGGCAGAGGGGGAUGGAAUUCCGCGUGUAGCAGUGAAAUGCGUAGAUAUGCGGAGGAACACCGAUGGCGAAGGCAGUCCCCUGGGCCUGUACUGACGCUCAUGCACGAAAGCGUGGGGAGCAAACAGG
rnacentral:rRNA from 1 species